rnacentral:rRNA from 1 species
ACUCCUACGGGAGGCAGCAGUGGGAAUAUUGGACAAUGGGGAACCGUACAUCAGCCAUGCCGCGUGUGUGAAGAAGGCCUUCGGGUUGUAAAGCACUUUCAGUGGGGAGGAAAGGUUGUUGGUUAAUACCUAACAGCUGUGACGUUACCCACAGAAGAAGCACCGGCUAACUCCGUGCCAGCAGCCGCGGUAAUACGGAGGGUGCAAGCGUUAAUCGGAAUUACUGGGCGUAAAGCGUGCGCAGGCGGUCUGUUAAGCGAGAUGUG